AGUUUGAUCCUGGCUCAGAGCGAACGCUGGCGGCAGGCUUAACACAUGCAAGUCGAACGGGCGUAGCAAUACGUCAGUGGCAGACGGGUGAGUAACACGUGGGAACGUACCCUUUGGUUCGGAACAACACAGGGAAACUUGUGCUAAUACCGGAUAAGCCCUUACGGGGAAAGAUUUAUCGCCGAAGGAUCGGCCCGCGUCUGAUUAGCUUGUUGGUGAGGUAAUGGCUCACCAAGGCGACGAUCAGUAGCUGGUCUGAGAGGAUGAUCAGCCACACUGGGACUGAGACACGGCCCAGACUCCUACGGGAGGCAGCAGUGGGGAAUAUUGGACAAUGGGCGCAAGCCUGAUCCAGCCAUGCCGCGUGAGUGAUGAAGGCCCUAGGGUUGUAAAGCUCUUUGGCGGGGAAGAUAAUGACGGUACCCGCAGAAUAAGCCCCGGCUAACUUCGUG
rnacentral:rRNA from 1 species